CAGGUACUCUGUUUAAUUUAGGCUAAAUAUUAAUUGUGCAAUGUAAAAAGUGGAAUCUGAAUAACGUAACCCUAUGAACAGGAAUUAAUAGGAAGCAAGUAGUCCUAAUAUUUUAAAACUGUAGUAAUUAGUGCCUGCUAAACAUGCUAACAAUUUCAUAGGCUGGUUUAUAUCAGUUUUCUCUUGUGCAAUGCUAUCCAGGAAUGUGUUUUCACAGGGAAUGUCUUCUAUGAACCAGGCUCUCGAUAAAUACAGCUGUUGUUCCUCAUUAGAAGCCAUAUCAAGGGCUGCCACAACUGAGAAGAAAUUUUAUCGCUUCCACAUUAAUCGGCAUAUAAAAGGAGUAUUCUUGUCGCAGACCUGGUUCGACUAGGGAGCUAUCGUCACUGGAAACAAGAGCCUGAUUAGGUUCCCACACAGAUAUGAAUAGACUUUCCUUUUUUGAGCAAAAAUGCCAUUUCUCCUUGUUUCUUAAGAACAGACUGGCAAUUGUAAUUGUUAAAGAAAAAAGAAGCCCCAAGCAACUCCCCUGAAUUAUCUUGGAACUCAAGACAUUUGUUUCUUCACUUGUGGCUCCCCUUCUUGUUGUUAUCCAGUCAUUUCUAUUAUCCAUCUGGUUGUCCUCUAUUGGAAAGCCUGAAUUGAUUCACAGCUGUGAAGAUGAACAAGGGCUUGGAUGGCUCUAAGCACACUGAGAUCUCUGAACUGCUAAUGAGGUCAGCAGACCAUGGGACAGAUGUUCAAAGGAUUCAUAAAAUAACUCAGUGCAAAGAUCCUGACCUCUGCUGGGGAUGAUGAUGAUGGUUCCAGAAAAGAGCAUAAUUGCAUGCAAGAGCAUUCAAAAUUAGAGAAACUUUACAGUUAAUGUUCAUUUGUUGCAUCAUCUUUCACAAGAAAUAGACUUUCCAGUAUUACUACAGGGGAGAGUGAUGCUGGUCUUUAGUGUAAAUAUUAGUUAGACCCAGAUAAUAUGCCAUGAACUUAAAAGAGAUAUACAACGGUCUCCUUCAUUUUCAUUCUGAAUGCUAUAGUAUCUCAUCUGACACUGUGUGGUUUCUGUAUUUAAAAAAGAAGUAAUGAUUCAUAAUGUUAACUACAACAAAUCAGUUGUAAAAAUGCUAGCACAAUAGGAAAUGCAAAGAUCACACUUGCACCUACAUUUUCUUUAAAUGGUGCAAACACAGUUUUUUCUGGAAUUAAAGUUAAUUACAGCACCA